AUCUCCUCCUCUUUCAUAAUCCUUGCUUUGUUUUGAGUGGGGAGCAUUGUGGAGAGGGAUAUUGCCUCUCAAAAAUUCGGCCAUUGGAGAGAUUUUGGAGUUUUGGUGGCUUCUACCUCCAUGGGAGCUUGAGGAGCACUCACAUCAUUGUUGUGCAACCAUUGGUGGAUUGAGACAUUUGGACCAACCGUGAGUGAUCAACCAUUGGAGCAAGCUAUGGAGCUUGAAUAGCUCAUUGGAAUUGGUGUAUAUUUGUAAAAGUGGAUUGCUGAAACUGUUGGUGAAGAACAAAGGUCGACUGAAGCAUUGAGGUAAGGAUGCUGCAGGAGCCUCUGGUGGCAAGUGGCCAUAUCUGGAUUAUGCAUGAAAUGUGGCAU